GUCGUCAGCUCGUGUCGUGAGAUGUUGGGUUAAGUCCCGCAACGAGCGCAACCCUCGCCUCUAGUUGUCAGCAUUCGGUUGGGCACUCUAGAGGGACUGCCGGCGACAAGUCGGAGGAAGGUGGGGAUGACGUCAAAUCAUCAUGCCCCUUAUGACCUGGGCUACACACGUGCUACAAUGGGCGGUACAAAGGGAAGCAGGACCGCGAGGUGGAGCAAACCCAAAAAGCCGGCCCCAGUUCGGAUCGUAGGCUGAAACCUGCCUGCGUGAAGCCGGAAUCGCUAGUAAUCGCGUAUCAGCUAUGACGCGGUGAAUAUGUUCCCGAGCCUU
rnacentral:rRNA from 1 species